rnacentral:lncRNA from 13 species
UGUGUAGCAACAGAUUAUCCGUUAUAUGGACCGGAUACUGAAGUGGCCUCUCCGGAACCUAAAAUAAAUGUCUUUAAAAAAUGGAAGGCAGUAGGGAGGAGGCAAGAUCAGGUUGGGACCAUUCUGGCCAAUGAGAGAGCAGACCCACAGGACACUAGCCCGACAGGGCACUUGCUUGUCCCGCCCUCAGUUUGGCGUUUUCUACAGACAGUGAGUAGAUUUUGUGUGUGUGUCAGUGUCAGGUGUUGUAACUGAAAUUAUUUUCCAAUCGUUUCGUUCUGAACAGAAGCAUUCUUUUUUCCCCUUCUGUUGCACUGUUCCGACCAACAAAAUAAAGUUCUGAACCCCCCAAAAUACUGCUUUACAUCAUUCCUUUCCCUUCCUUUUAAAAAUAUACUCUACUGUUCAAAAGUUUGGGGUCACUUAGACAUGUCCUUGUUAUCCAUGAAAACAUACAUGAAACGAGUUGUAAAAUGAAUACGAAAUAUAGUCAAGACGUUGACAAUGUUAUAAGUAAUGGUUAGAGCAAGUUUGAGCUGUUCUGUGAAGGGUGUAGUACACAGCGUUGUACGAGCUCUUUAGUUUCUUGACAAUUUCUCGCAUGGAAUAAUAGCCUUAUUUUCUCAGAACAAGAAUAGACUGACGAGUUUCAGAAGAAAGUUAUUUGUUUCUGGCCAUUUUGAGCCUGUAAUCGAACCCACAAAUGCUGAUGCUCCAGAUACUCAACUAAUCUAAAGAAGGCCAGUUUUAUUGCUUUAUUGUUCAGGACAACAGUUAUCAGCUGUGCUAACAUAAUUGCAAAAGGGUUUUCUAAUGACCAAUUAGCCUUUUUAAAAUGAAAAACUUGGAUUAGCUAACACAACGUGCCAUUGGAACACAGGAGUGAUAGUUGCUCAUAAUGGGCCUCUGUACGCCUAUGUAGAUAUUCCAUCAAAAAAAUCAUCCGUUUCCAGCUACAAUAGUAAUUUACAACAUUAACAAUGUCUACACUGUAUUUCUGAUCAAUGUGAUGUUAUUUUAAUGGACAAAAAAAAUGAGCUUUUCUUUCAAAAACAAGGACAUUUCUAAGUGACCGCACACUUUUGAACGGUAGUGUAUAUACAUUUACAUUACAUUGAAUUACUACACCAAUCAGGGCACAUAGAGCAGCAUGGUGUGGAGUGGGUAAGCACUUUAAUUUGUUUAGGAAAGUCGUUAAGAGCAAAUUGUAUUUUGCCGUAACGGCAUGGUUUAAUCAUAAUGAAAGACAAACACACCGUGUGCUGACGGUCACAGUGUAGGGUGUGAGACGCAACUGACAUUUUGAGGGUGAGGAUGGAGGCUGCUUGCCUUGAAAGCGCUGAGCACCUUAUGGCAUGCAUUAUCUGAAUUAGGCCCACAGAGUUAUACCUACAGAGGAGUGGCUUCUAUAGAGGAACUUUGAAUGUCUUUGAACUUCCGAGUUGGUUUAAUGUUCUCUGGCUAACACGCUUGUAGAGCAGCACUAGAUUUUAUUAUUUUUUAUUACAAUAUUUAUUUCCUUAAAUUUUUUUUUUUAACAAUCAACAAAAUAGGACACAGAUAAUUCCCCGUUAGUCCUCCCACCUACAUAACAUAGCAUGAUAAAUGGGAGCACUUCUUGCCAAAGCCCAACACAUGAACACCUCCCCUCAUCCGGUAUUGGCUUCAAUGAUUAACAACAAAACAAAACAGAAUGACCUUCACAUCCAAUGCUAGAAAAUAUAUUAUUCAAUGCAAAUACAAAUGAUACAUUAAGAAAAUGAGGCAGCUAAAGUGACGACUCGAACUGCUGAAAGUCCCCCCCAGACAUCAGACAAUUCACAGGGGUUAUUACAUCAUAAUUGUAUGUUGUUUUUUUCAGAUGGAAUAUAGGAAGUUAUUUUAGCUCCUUGACAGAGUGUCACUUUUCCCAUAUAAAAACGGUGCAUUUAUUGGCUGUAUUGACUGCUGAUGAAACUAGUCUGGUUUUGCUACCAAUAUUAACUGGUUGAACAGAUUCCUCUCAAAGAAGAGUGAAGGGAAGGAUCUAGUGGUACUGUCAUAUUAGUGACCUGUGAUAAGAUCGGAAUAAUGUCUUUCCAAUAAUUGACUCGUUCAGGGCAGGACAGAAACAUAUGCAUCAGUGUUGCCAGCCACGUUUUACACCUUGGGAAACAUGUUGAAUAUUUAGAAUGAAUCUUAAUCUGUGAUGUAAAGUAGACCCUAAUGUAAAAUAUUGAAUUGCAUCAACUUGAGCCUUGUGUUAAAUGAAAGACGCUGAGCAUCUAAAAAGAACUCAA